AGUGGUAUAACGCUUUUCACCUCAAAGUCCAACCCCAGUGAUAACUUCCUGCAGCAUUUCUGUAUCACCUAGAUCUCCCAAAACUGCAACCAAUGGGUACCAAGUAUCUAAGUGCCAGAGACUGGUGGGCAUUUCUCAUUCAAAUAAUCACACUGGGUUUGACCAGUGGAAAACCCAAAAGCACAGUCCUGGACCAGAUUGUUAGCAGGGGAGCUGGUCCAAACAGCACUAAGGGCAGACUAGGGUGCAUCUGUCAGAGGCAGGCCAAACAGUGGAAUCCCCUUACUGCUGAGACUCACGGAGGCCCUACAUCAGUACCCCAGGAUGGGAAGGUUGGAUGGCUCAGGUGGGAAAGUGACUCCUACAUGCUGCUGGACCCAACAUUGUCUUUUUGACCAAGAUGGAUAAAAGUGCUGAGGGCUUUGUGCUGAUUUGGACUUUGCUAACAUUCUUUUAUCAGUAUCCUCUUAACUGCCCAAGGAGUCAGGAAGUAAGUGAAACUUGGAGAUCUCAGCAAGUUCCUGAAGCCUACAAGAUUCACAAGUCCCACCUUCCCAAAGAUAGAUAAGCAGUAAUUAACUUCUGGGGACUGGAGACUCUAAACCCAGCAAACUGCAAACCAGCUCUCAGCAAGUGUAGGGGGCUCCGGGGUUGUAACCAUUUUGGUGAUACUGUUUUCAGUGAUGUACCUGUCUUUGAGUCAACCAUGCUCCUAUGAAUAAACCAAUAAGCCCAGCAGUCCACUGA
rnacentral:lncRNA from 1 species